UAGGAUUAGAUACCCUACUAUGCUCAAUCGUAAACAUCGAUUUUUUCACUUAUACGCCAGAGAACAACGAGCAAAGCUUAAAACCCAAAGGACUUGGCGGCGCUUCAUAUCACCCUAGAGGGGCCUGUCACAUAAUCGAUAACCCACGAUACACCUUACCAUCUUUAGCCUAUACAGCCUAUAUACCGCCGUCGCCAGCCCAUCUUAAGAGAGGGACAAAAUGGGCCAAAAAGUGUUUACACUCAUACGACAGGUCAAGGUGUAGCUUAUAAGGUGGUAAAUGAUGGACCACAUUGCUUAACAAAGCUAUACCAAAACUGCACUGAAACACACACUUUGAGGUGAAUUUAACAGUAAGACAAACAAGAAAAUCUGUCUAAAGAAUGCUCUGGAGCGUGCACACACCGCCCGUCACCCU
rnacentral:rRNA from 1 species